ensembl:lncRNA
CCGCAGCGGGCGCGCAGCGCGGAAAUGGGGCGCCGGGGGCUGGAGUGGCCUCGCGGCCGAGUGGCACCGCACGGGAGUCCCUGUCCGCGCAGCCUGCGGAGACCGGGGCCGGCGUCUCAGGCCGGCUGAGGGCACGGACGCGUUUCCACGCACGCCCCAGGCGGACCUGACCGCGGAGUGCCUCGGUGGCGCCCGGGGUUCCCUUCCCAUCUCCGCAGCCUGACCCCGCCCCAGGAGCUCGCCUUCAGAUUAAGGGCAGCUGUCAUGGUGGUGGGGGUCAAAUGAGCAACUUUUUAAAAAGAAAAGACCUGAAAACAAAACACCUAACUGGACUUUGACCCUUGAUUUGGAGCACAAAAAUAGGAGAGGAAAAGGAAGUGGGGGAGGGGCAAAAGAAACCAAGUACAAAAUGUGUCAGAUUCCCUCAGCAGGAGGAAGGGCCGGCCAGGCUGAGAAAGCUGCGGAUCUCAUCAGCCCUCCACCAUCUCCCUCAAAUCACCGCCAAUGACCUUGUGGAAUAACUGAUCUCGGCAGCCUUGCUGGGUCGUGUCCCAAGGACGUUCAGCUGCUUAGGCCUCAUCCUCGGGGUAGUUGCCAGUAACACUUGACACGUUUGUCACUUGACACGUGAUUAGCUCGCAGUCAUUGUCGUUAUCGUGAUUUAAUUAUCCUGAUUUAAUGCUUUAGGUACUAUAAUGACCAGGCAGCUGCUUGUAGAGCCAGUUGGCCUGGUUCAGUUCACAAACUAUUAAGUACAUGGCCUUGGCCAAGUCACCUGACCCCUCUGGGGCUCAGGAAAUGGGGAUGAUGACAAGCAUUCAGGCUUUCACUCCUGGAAGAACCUAAAGUAGCACAUGGCUUGUGAAAAGUUAGCACUCAAGAAAGUUCACCAACAGUAGAGAUGGAGCUCACACCCAGCUCAGGCCCCAGAUUACCUAGCAAGCCUGUGAUGUUGAUGCGCUGUCCCCCGCCUGCUGGGGGUCUGCCGGGUGUGAUGUAGACACUUCACUCGUGUCCUACAUAACUGAAGGGAGUCAUCGUCCAGUCCUCAUUUUACUGUUGGAAGGACUCCAAGGCUGGUUUUCUGACUCCUGCACCAGGUCUCCCUUCCACCCAGUUUCCAGACCCUUGGGAUAGAGAUCCCUGCCUUAGCCCAAAAGACACUAAAUUCAGCUUUCCUGCCACAUGCCCUAAACACACUAACUGGGCAGUGUUUGCCAAAGCACACCUCUCUUGUGGCCUCUGUCCUGAGAAGCAGGCCUUCCUCUUAUUGGAAAACAGAACAUCUAAAAUCUCAUUGAAAGUUUCUCCGGAAAAGUCUCCCCUGACGGGAAAGGCCCAGAGGCAGGACAAACACUUGGCGUUUUAAUAAGAACUGGGGGGAUCUUGGGAAGGGGAUGACAAGACCAUGCAUUAUAUUGCUUUUCCACGUUUGAGCAUCUUCCAGACUUCACCUUCCUUCAAAACAUUGAGCACUGGGCCAGGGAUUUAGCUCAGUGGUUCCACCGCCUGCCUCGAAAGCGCAAGGUCCCAAGUUCAAUCCCCGAUACCAAAAACAACAAAAGGUUAACUGGAAAACAUCCAGUGCUUUCUGGGUGCAUGCUGAGAUCUGCUUGUCAUGCAGCUUCUCCUCGGGAUAUUUGCUGCUGCUUCUUGUCCAGUUUUUUUUCUGCAAUGCUGAGGAUUGAACCCAAGUCCUUGAGCACUGUUGUUUUUAGUAACUCUUGGAGGAGGAACCCAAAGGAAUGAGUCUGGAAGAAUUUCAGCCGCAGUUGUCUGAGGUAGCCAUGGCUCAGAGUGUACACCGCUGACUCCCGGCUCUAAAACCGGAAGCAGGUUGCUUGACCUCUGGAGCCAACCCCUGUUUUCCCAGGGUCCCAGCUUGCCAACUGUCUCAAGGACCUACAGGGACAUCCCACCUGUUACCUGGUGGUGGUCUACACAUAUGUUCCCUUCCUUCCCAGCAGCGAUUCUCCAUCCCUCCUGCUGGACAGCCCUACCUGGUCCUCAGAUUUGAAUGUAUAUUGGAGAUGCCAGUUCUGGGCUCUACUGCUAGCAGGUCUGAUUCAGUGGGCAGUGGCCUGGGCAUCGGGACUUUCAAAAGCUUCCCAGGUGACUAAUGUGUAGCAAAGUUAAGAACCCCGAUGCAGGGAACUCUAGAGGAAGGCUCCCAGGCUCAAGUCCUCCCUCAAAAGAACCCAAGUAGAAGCCCUGGAGGCUGGGCUCUGGGAUUUAUUUAACGGAUUCAAUUCCGUCCUCAUAUAAGGAUAUACAGGGAUGUGAGAAGGGAGAUUAUGUCAUUGUUUAUUUCACAAAAAUAAAAUUGCAUUACCCCCGUCUUUCUGGAUCUUGCCAUUAACACUUGAUUUCUGUGGAAAUCCCUCCAUGUCAACUAAUAAUAUUCUAGUUUUUCUUGAAAUUCUACUUUGGCAUAAUUUCAGACUUGUAGAAAUGUAAGAGUAGUACAAAGCUAUCCUGCUGGCCCAUCAUCAGAGUCCCCAGUGUUGGCCUAUCACAGUGGUUGCUUCAUGCCUGGCUGGGUUUAGAAGCCCUUGGGAGGUUUUGGCAUGCAGCAGGCAGCUGCUCGAGGCCUCACAGGUUGCUGUGUGACUUAAGGCCACUCUGCUGUAAUGUCUGACCUUUGAGAUGGAUCUUCGAAUUAGAGGCAGUGGAUUUAGACAGUAGCCUCUGAGUCAGGCUCCAUCAGUUUCUAUUCUUCCGUGCCUCAGUUUCUUCAUCUGCCAAAUGAGGAACGCUGCAUGGGAGUGCUUAAAUAGCACGGGGCACCCAGUGAGUCUGCACUAAAAGUCCUUCCUCUACCGAUCAUUACCGUGGCUCAUCAAUGAAAUAAAGUUGGUUUAAGCUUGCCCUGGUGACCUACAAGAAUUCUUUUUUUUUGGCAGUACCAGGGAUUGAACUCAGGACCUUCCACUUAUCAGGCAGGCGUGGUGCCACUGAGGUACAUCCCCAGCCCCAUAAGGAGAAUUCUGUAUGAUCCUAGACCCCUUAAUUCCUUUAGACAAAUUGGUAGUUAUCAGUAUGGAAAAGGGUUUGCUUAGAAACAGACCCCUUUUGAAAAUGAAAUCAGUAAGAAUCAAUUAAAAAUACCUGCUACAAUGACUCAUCCUAACAGACGUUUUGUAGAUGCCAGGCUGGGAAAUGCCCAUGUCUCAGUGUCAAGAAUCUGUCUCAGGCAGGAAACUAAUGGGAGAUGGCGACGAAGUGGUUGGUGCCAGGCUGAAGUAACCCGUUCAUGUGGCUAUCGGGCACACACCUGUGUGCACUGGGCCUCAGCAGGGCGGGGGUUGUGCACCUACGUUACAGCAGCACAACUUGUGACAGCUAAAUCUUGGAAGGAAGCAGCCUGUACGCCCAUCGCCAGAUGAAGGGAGAAAGAAAAUGUGGCAUUUAUCCAAGAUGAAGUACUACUCUAUCGUAAAGAAAGAUCAACUUGAGGCAUUUGUAGGAAAAUGGCUGCACCUUGAGACCAUAAUUUUAAGUGACGUAAAUCAGACACACAAGCUUGAGCAUCACAUUUCAUGUUAUAUAUUAAUAUGAAAAAGUUAAUAUGUAAAGUAUGAAAUAAAAGACAGAUAAUAGGAAAUAAGAGAGAAAGAAAAAAGUUAUUGUAUUCUAAGCAUGUUUCUGCUGUCGAUUUCUAGUUUCACUCUGGUGUGGUGUAAGAACUCACUUUGCAGGACUUCUAUUUGUUUUGGGGGGUUUUUUGCAUAUGUUCUGUUCUUUAUGGUUGCUAUGAGUAUGGUCUAUUUUGAACUUUUAAAAAGAUUCCCAGCAUAGGAAAAUCUAUGACAAUAGCGAGUAGUCAGAG